AGUGAACGCCGGCGGUAGGCCUAACACAUGCAAGUCGAACGGCAGCACAGUAAGAGCUUGCUCUUACGGGUGGCGAGUGGCGGACGGGUGAGGAAUACAUCGGAAUCUACUUUUUCGUGGGGGAUAACGUAGGGAAACUUACGCUAAUACCGCAUACGACCUACGGGUGAAAGCAGGGGAUCUUCUGACCUUGCGCGAUUGAAUGAGCCGAUGUCGGAUUAGCUAGUUGGCGGGGUAAAGGCCCACCAAGGCGACGAUCCGUAGCUGGUCUGAGAGGAUGAUCAGCCACACUGGAACUGAGACACGGUCCAGACUCCUACGGGAGGCAGCAGUGGGGAAUAUUGGACAAUGGGCGCAAGCCUGAUCCAGCCAUACCGCGUGGGUGAAGAAGGCCUUCGGGUUGUAAAGCCCUUUUGUUGGGAAAGAAAAGCAGCAGGUUAAUACCCCGCUGUUCUGACGGUACCCAAAGAAUAAGCACCGGCUAACUUCGUG
rnacentral:rRNA from 1 species